UUUCCGUAGGUGAACCUGCGGAAGGAUCAUUAUUGAAAUAAGCCUGAUGGGUUGUUGCUGGUUCUCUAGGGAGCAUGUGCACGCCUUGUCAUCUUUAUAUCUCCACCUGUGCACCUUUUGUAGACCCUUCAGGUCUAUGUUGCUUCUUUCACCCCCAUGUAUGUCAAUAGAAUGUUGUGCCUAUAAUAUAACAUAUACAACUUUCAGCAACGGAUCUCUUGGCUCUC
rnacentral:misc_RNA from 1 species